ACGAACGCUGGCGGCGUGCUUAACACAUGCAAGUCGAACGGAGAAUUUAUUUCGGUAAAUUCUUAGUGGCGAACGGGUGAGUAACGCGUGGGCAACCUGCCUUCAGAUGGGGACAACAUCCCGAAAGGGGUGCUAAUACCGAAUACGAUCACGCUGCCGCAUGGCGGUGUGAUGAAAGAUGGCCUCUAUUUAUAAGCUAUCGCUGAAGGAUGGGCCUGCGUCUGAUUAGCUAGUUGGGUGGGGUAACGGCCUACCAAGGCGAUGAUCAGUAGCCGGUCUGAGAGGAUGAACGGCCACAUUGGGACUGAGACACGGCCCAAACUCCUACGGGAGGCAGCAGUGGGGAAUAUUCCGCAAUGGACGAAAGUCUGACGGAGCAACGCCGCGUGAGUGAUGAAGGUUUUCGGACUGUAAAACUCUGUUGUUUAGGACGAAAGUGCCUGUUGCAAAUAGUUGCAGGUAUUGACGGUACUGAACGAGGAAGCCACGGCUAACUACGUG
rnacentral:rRNA from 1 species